UUUCUGACACGUCACCUGCGUCUUCAGAUGGAUCAGAUCCCAAGAAAAUGAACAGCGAAGGAGAAAAUUUGAAGGUUCUUCCGAGAUAUCAACUGCACCCAUUAUUGGCAGCGUUGUUGGGGGACUUUUACUCCUGGUUCUGGCCGCCAUCAUUCCUGGAGUUGUUUGUUGGAAGAAAAGAUAUCGGAUUUAAGCCAGCAAAUACUUCUGACACGUCAUCCGCCUCUUCAGAUGGAUCAAAUCCCAAGAAAGU